GACGUAGGGCGCGAGCGUUGUCCGGAUUUAUUGGGCGUAAAGAGCUCGUAGGCGGCUUGUUGCGUCGACUGUGAAAACCCGCGGCUUAACUGCGGGCUUGCAGUUGAUACGGUGUGGCUAGAGUUCGGGAGAGGAGAGUGGAAUUCCCAGUGUAGAGGUGAAAUUCGUAGAUAUUGGGAAGAACACCGGUGGCGAAGGCGGCUCUCUGGACCGAUACUGACGCUGAGGCGCGAAAGCGUGGGGAGCAAACAGG
rnacentral:rRNA from 1 species